AGCAGAGAGAAUAAUGAAGCAAAUAUGAGAUUAAAUAUGUAUCUGUGACCUGAAUAAAAUAUUUAUAAUCAUAAAUCUUUAUAAAUAAAAAAAAAAAAAUUAUAUUAAGGAUUAUAAACUCAUCCAAUGAAAUUGCAUUUUGAAUGACGUCAUUACGUUUUCCGCUAUCGCGGCAAAUUACAACGCAGCGCGCGUUCCAGAUCCUUAUUUUUUUUCCGUGAACUUGAGAGGAGAGCAGAUGGCUGUCGCUGAUCCAAGAGAUUUAGUGCUUCAGAAUUGAAAAUAAAUGACGCCAGUUUUUUUUUCUCUCUCUCUUUGCUGUUCCAUGUGAUGUUCUGUUGAUGCUCAUCUACUGCAUGUGGCCUGUUCUGGAUACGGAUCAAGUGAAGUGUGAACCUUUUCCUGGAUCGUGAACUGUCUCAACUCUCUCCUGUGCGUGUAACGAUGGAGUUUGGACUGGCGAGCCACCCAUUGGCUGAAGGUUGAGAACAUUCCUGUUUUGAAAGAGCACCGAAGUUGAACUUGUUCAUCUUCAAAUGGUAGGAGUGGAAUUUUAGACUUUAGAGACAUUGGAUUUCAUUACUUCCUGGAUUCUUGGACUAAAUUUAUGAACUGCUUUUUUUUUGUUUUUUUCCUUCUCCAAGAAUGAUUCUGAUUUGUUUGUUGCAAGCAGUGGACUCUUGUUAAAUUUUGAGGUGUUCAGACUGAAUGAAAUUUUGUUUAUUGGGUGUUUUAAUAUCUUUCAGAAACUUUCUUGAGGUUUAUGGGUAAAUAAUCGCUGAACAAUUAAACUAAGAUUUAAAUUUAGGAACAGAACAGUUAAAAAAAGAAAAGGUUGAUUAUAAAUUAAUGAUAAACUGCUUCAAAAUUUAACCUGUUGAAUUAGAUAUCAACGAGGUAGAAAAACGGAAGGGAAACGUCAAUUUACUUUCAUGAGUUAUAUUGCUAUAAGUCUUUAAGGGAAAAAGAACGUGGUACAAAUCCUUAUUAUUGAAUGCAACUAACUGAGGUUAUUGUAUACUGAGUGUGAGGAAACAAAACUGUUUUUUUUUGUUGUUAAUUCACUGUUAAAAUAUAAUCUUUCUUAUUCGUACCUCAACCCCCGUGUCUGAGUGGUUCACUGCUGUCGCACAUCUCUCUCCUCGGACGAACCUAGACUGCUGAACUUACUGGUCCAUUGACAAAAUAACUUGAAAGAUAUUAGGGUGGCACGUG